rnacentral:rRNA from 2 species
AUCUUCGCAUGGACGAAGUCUGACGGAGCAACGCCGCGUGAGUGAUGAAGGCUUUCGGGUCGUAAAACUCUGUUGUUAGGGAAGAACAAGUGCUAGUUGAAUAAGCUGGCACCUUGACGGUACCUAACCAGAAAGCCACGGCUAACUACGUGCCAGCAGCCGCGGUAAUACGUAGGUGGCAAGCGUUAUCCGGAAUUAUUGGGCGUAAAGCGCGCGCAGGUGGUUUCUUAAGUCUGAUGUGAAAGCCCACGGCUCAACCGUGGAGGGUCAUUGGAAACUGGGAGACUUGAGUGCAGAAGAGGAAAGUGGAAUUCCAUGUGUAGCGGUGAAAUGCGUAGAGAUAUGGAGGAACACCAGUGGCGAAGGCGACUUUCUGGUCUGUAACUGACACUGAGGCGCGAAAGCGUGGGGAGCAAACAGGAUUAGAUACCCUGGUAGUCCACGCCGUAAACGAUGAGUGCUAAGUGUUAGAGGGUUUCCGCCCUUUAGUGCUGAAGUUAA